rnacentral:rRNA from 1 species
CAUUCCGAACUCAGAAGUGAAACGAAAUAGCGCCGAUGGUAGUGUGGGGUUUCCCCAUGUGAGAGUAGGACAUCGCCAGGU